GGGAGGCGCUUUCGGGGUGUGCUGGAUCUGUCUUUCUAGAGCAAGGGAUGCGAUGUUGAGCGGCGCGGGGCGCUGGCCGGGCCUUUCAGGGCCGAGGUUUGCGCCCUACUCUUCAUCCGCGUGCCUCCCGCUGUCCGGGACGCGCAGCCAGCCCCCGGGCACAGCGAGGGAGCCGCUCAGGCGCUAGACGCCUGUAACUCCGGGACCACAGGGCGACAGGCUCGGGGCAGCCAUGCUGGGGCACGCGGGUGCAGAUGGGCAGUGGGAGGUACGCGGGACGCUUGUGAGUCCUCGUGCCUCGUACUCCGUGGAGCUGGCUGCUGGAAGAGGGAGCUGCUUCAAGAUGAGCCCCACGGACCCGGACGCCUAGGAGCCCAGACUUCCUGCACCCCCAGGCCCUAAGGCGACCCUGGCCAGCUGCACCCAAUCAACCCCUAGCUGGAGAGACCCCAUGGCCAUGUUCCGGCUGCCCUGAGUCUGGGGCUGCAGAGCUUCCUGCCCGCAGAGCCUCCUGCCCACAGAGCCUCCUGCCCACAUCUGCAGGGCACUGAACCUGUCUGGCCCCUGACUGGCUCCCAAGCCUUCUCCUCUCUCAACCUGGUCCCAGGGACUCCCCGGCUUCAGGACUCAGCAGGGCACAGCAGCAGUUCCGUGCAUGCGGGGACCAGGACGGACAGGCUGCUGCUGCCCAGACCCCAAGACGUCUGUCUGUUUGCCUCCUGGUGCCAUCUGAUCCAGCACCCUCUCCAUGUGCAAGAGUGGAGUCCUUCCCUAGAUGUGUAGUGACGCACUUCCCCAGCUUUGGACUCAGAGCUACACCGACAGAGACCACAAUGGUACAUGCAGAGCUGAGAGCACCUGGCCCUCGGGGUACUCCAGGUAUAUGUGCGGGACCUCUGGGCCUCUUUGGGAGUGUUACAGCAGCUUUGAUGCCAGGCUUUUCUCCUGUCAUCCCUGUCCUCGGGUCCUCUGUUUAGCAGGCA
rnacentral:lncRNA from 1 species